AUUCUACCCAUGCGGGGAAGGAUGAGAAGCUUCGACCAAGGUUCGAUUCGAGCGCAGCGAGAAAGCGUUGCCGCAGGCAACGACCCGAAGGGCGAAG
rnacentral:sRNA from 1 species